ACGUACCACGCGUACACUCCGGUUUCCUCCGCGCCGUCCGCACCCAACUGACGACUGCUUGCUAUGUUUUGUUAGCC
rnacentral:sRNA from 1 species